ACGGGAGGCAGCAGUGGGGAAUAUUGCACAAUGGGGGAAACCCUGAUGCAGCAACGCCGCGUGAGUGAUGACGGUCUUCGGAUUGUAAAGCUCUGUCUUUGGGGACGAUAAUGACGGUACCCAAGGAGGAAGCCACGGCUAACUACGUGCCAGCAGCCGCGGUAAUACGUAGGUGGCGAGCGUUGUCCGGAUUUACUGGGCGUAAAGGGGGCGUAGGCGGAUUCUUAAGUGGGAUGUGAAAUACCCGGGCUUAACCUGGGUGCUGCAUUCCAAACUGGGAAUCUAGAGUGCAGGAGGGGAGAGUGGAAUUCCUAGUGUAGCGGUGAAAUGCGUAGAGAUUAGGAAGAACACCAGUGGCGAAGGCGACUCUCUGGACUGUAACUGACGCUGAGGCUCGAAAGCGUGGGGAGCAAACAGGAUUAGAUACCCUGGUA
rnacentral:rRNA from 1 species